UGAAUUGGGUUGGAACGGAUUAAUUUUUUUCGGGUUUGUGUGGGUUUACCCGUGGGUUAUCCAAGGGUCUCGUUCUGCUUCGUCUCUAGUCGCCGGCGCCGCCGCCGCCUACCGCCGCAUCCGUCACGACACCCACUCCACGGGCGCCGAGAUCCCCUACCAGCGGGCACCUCCCACGUCCUCGGCUCCGGUCCAUCCCCCUCCUCCUCCCACCCCGCUUCCCGCCCCACAAACCCUACCCCUAACCCCAGGCCCGCCCCAAAGCAGCCAUCGCCACCUCCCCUGGCCGCGCCAGCCGAUUUCACCCCCUUCACACCCCUCAUCUCCUCCUCCCGCCGCCCCGACGCGAACGGCACCGCGGCCGCACCCACCGUCGCGUGCCCGAGCUGCGGGGACGUGUUCCGGUUCGAGCUCGCGGUCUCCGAGCACCUCGACGGGUGCCUCGCGUCGGCGGGGGGCGCCUAUGCACGCGCCGCCGCGUACCUCGCCGCCGACCCUCCCCCGCCCGCGGCCGCCGUGGAGGUGCUCAAGCACCUGCUGGGCAACCUGCUCCGGGAGUAAUCUUACUUACCUGUUCCAGCUAAUUCAGUAAUCUUUCCUAAAGAAAGCAAACUGCUCCUGGAUGAUGGAGGGAGGAGGCUGACAGUUUCUGCAGCUUAAAAUCUUCAGACAGAUCGGUUGGGAUGAGGUCUCACUGAAGCAGUUUAAGUGUGUAACCUGAAUGCUGUCAGCAUGUACUUUUUUCAUGCCUACAUCCAUGAUCCACUAGCAGGAUUCCGAUCUUUUUUUUUCUGUUUCUCUUGGGUGUCGUGACACUGAAUCUGAAUCUCAGGUUAUCUGCACACAUUUCAGGACACUGUAGUCUUAUGCAAAUCAUAUUGCCACGACAUUGUUGACACGAUUAUAAACAGUUUCUGAAUAGAUGGGUCGCGUUCAGUUAA